GAAGCCCCGGCUAAAUAUUGUGCCAGCAGCCGCGGUAAUACGUAGGGGGCAAGUGUUAUCCGGAUUUAUUGGGUGUAAAGGGGGCGCAGACGGCCAUGGCAAGCCCGGUGUGAAAGGCAG
rnacentral:rRNA from 1 species